UCCGAUAUGGUGUAGUGGCUAACAUUAUCGCCUCUCAUUGGUUUCUUGAGUCCACCCUUUUAGACGCGAUAGCCCAGGGUUCAAUUCCCUGUGUCGGAA